AACUUUGCACAGUGGCAGUAUCGUAGCCAAUGAGGUUUAUCCGAGGUGCGAUUAUUGCUAAUUGAAAACUUUUCCCAAUACCCCACCAUGAUGACUUGAAAUAUAGUUGGCAUUGGCAAUUUUUGACAGUCUCUAUGGAGA
rnacentral:snRNA from 1 species